rnacentral:rRNA from 1 species
UACGUAGGGUGCGAGCGUUGUCCGGAAUUACUGGGCGUAAAGAGCUCGUAGGUGGUUUGUCGCGUCUGCUGUGAAAAUCCGGGGCUCAACCCCGGACUUGCAGUGGGUACGGGCAGACUAGAGUGUGGUAGGGGAGACUGGAAUUCCUGGUGUAGCGGUGAAAUGCGCAGAUAUCAGGAGGAACACCUGUGGCGAAGGCGGCCCCCUGGUUGGAUACUGACGCUGAUACGCGAAAGCGUGGGGAGCGAACAGG